ACAUUACUCACAGUCUCUAUAGCCUUGUGUGUCUACUGGUGAAUUAAAAGGUCACUAGUGGUGUCCUCUGGGAGUCCUCUUCUCACUCCCCCAGUUCAGUAGGCAGAUGGGUGGGGAGUCCCCCACGCCAUCUGGGUCCUGAAAAGGUGGGAGAUGGGAUCUGGGAGGAGCAGGUUAUUCAAUCUCUCCCCCUGGAAAGCGACGUGGCGCGGGCCUUACUGGGGAAGGGCCUCUCCCCCCAGACCGAGAGAGGCGCAGUUAGGCCCGUUCUCGGAAGCCAUGGCCGAUCCUGCUCCUGGGGGCGCUGAUACUGGCUAUUUGCAGCGCCCUCUCUUGUGAAACCCUGCGGAUUCCGCUUGCGGGAAGUGGAGGGCGGUGGCCUCCGCCUUUUGGGGCUUCUGGGCUGAGGGAAGAGGAUGGAGGGGCAGAAAGGGAGUGAGGUCCCAAACCCCAAGUGGAGGUCGCCCGGGGACCCCCCAUCAAAACACUUGCUGGGGAGAGGUUAUAGAGGCAGCAAAGCUCUUUCCAGCAUGAUUUCAAAUCCCGUCUAAGGGCUUUCAGAAGCCUGGAGAAAGUUUCGGUUUCCCAGCUGUUUCAGCUUUUUCCGCCCGCACCGCGGCGAUGCGUUCGGAGCCGCCGAGGCGGCAGCGCCAUCUGCUGUCUACUUUUUAAAUUGCAGGAUCAGAUCCUCUCGGUCUCUCCAGACCUGCCCCGUGGAAAGGGAAUAAGAUUAAACCAGUAAAAAUAGCUUAGAUCACCUGAGGUCAGGAAUUCGAGACCAGCCUGGCCAACAUGGCGAAACCCCGUCUCUACUAAAAAAAGUACAAAAAUUAGCCGGGCGUGGUGGCGGGCGCCUGUAAUCCCAGCUACUCAGGAGGCUGAGACAGGAGAAUCGCUUGAACCCAGGAGGCGGAGUUUGCAGUGAGCCUAUAUCACGCCACUGCACUCCAGGCUGGGAGACAAGAACGAGACUCUGUCUCAAAAAGAAAAAAAUAGUUUAAAGGCCAGGAGCGGUGGCUCAUAGCUGUAAUCCCAUCACUUUGGGAGGCCGAGGUGAGUGGAUCACAAUGUCAGGAGUUCGAGACCAGCCUGGCCAACAUGGUAAAACCCCUGUCUCUACUAAAAAUACAAAAAUUAGCCAGGCGUGGUGGCGGGCGCCUGUAAUCUCAGCUGCUUGGGAGGCUGAGGCAGGAGAAUCAGUUGAACCCAGGAGGCAGAAGUUGCAGUGAGCCAAGAUCGUGCCACCGCACUCCAGCCUGGCCACAGAGCAAGACUCCAUCUAAAAAAAAAAAAAUUUAAAAUGCCGACAGCCACUGUUAUGCAAAGUUCAAGGGCCUCUCUCACACUUAGCUGGGGGAGGAGUGAAUACAGCCUUUCUGAAGAAAGAAAAAUUAAGUAAUAGCAAAAUCAUUAAGUGUUUAUGAUUCAUAAAUACAGUUUUUGUCAACUAAAAAAAUAAAAUAUGUAGAAGUCAAAAAAGUGUCUAUGAUUCAGAAAUGCCACCGUUAGAAGUUGCCAUAAGAGUGCACACAAAAAGGACAUAUGGGUCAAAGUGUUUGCAGCAGUGUUGUCCCAAAUAAGGACAUUUUGCAACAUUGUGGGGUGGUUAAAAUAACUAUAGAAUAUGCAUUAGAAUACAAUGAAACCAUUAAACAUAAUGUGGAAGAAUAUUGUAUAUUAUAGGGAAAUGCUCAUAAUAUAUAGUGACAAUUUAAAAAGCAGAUUACAAAACAAUAUGCCAAGACAUGAUUUCUGCCCAAGUCUGCCCUGAUGGGUGAGCUAACCAAGGUUGCUGCACUGUGAGGGCAUAGGGGCUGCCCCUCAGCCCCCACCCCAGCCACUGGGCUCCUCAGGAAAGGACACGUGAGUGUUUACUGCACAUCCUACAGAUGAGGAGCUCACAAGGACCCUGGAUGGGGGAGUCCUCUGAGGUUGCUGGAGCUGCUGCAGCCAUCUUGUCACUGCCAGGGGAGAGCUCUCUCUGAGAGCGAAGGCACAGUGGAGGAAAGCAGAACUAAGAAGAGACAGAGAAAGCGAAAGUGGGAGAGAGAGAGAGAUAUGAGGUGACAAGUGUGGGUCCUUGGAUCCUGCUUGGUGUAAAGCUAGCCUGCUCCUGGACUUUACAGAUAAUAAAUUCCUUCCUCAUCAGAUUAACCUGGGUUUUUGUGGCUUGUAACCAAAAGGGUCUGCACGGCCCACACACAGGCUCCCAGCUCAUUUCCUUUGCAAUGAGUGGUAACUGGAGGCGGGCGGUGCAUGGACCUGCCUUGCAAGGCUUCUCUGUUAGUGGUGCCUGGAGCCCACUCUCUCAGCUGGCACAGCCAGUGUGACACAUCAGUCCGGGUGUGUCCUGGACCUACCCCCUUUCUGGGUGCAAACCAGAACUGAGGAUGCCGAGGGUGGUGGGGGGGUAGUUUCCUGCCUCAGGGCUGUGCUCCUGCUACCUCUUUGCCUAAAAUUCUCCCCUCUCUGUGCUCCCAGGGCCAGCUCCUUUGUAUGCUCUGUGAUUCUUUGAACAGCGCCCCCUCUGAGAAGCCUUCCCUGACCACCUGGCUGAGGACAUCAUUCUGUCCCAGCUUCCAUUUGCUUUGGGAGUGGCCUCCUGACACUUCACUUCCGUGAGGCAGGGACCAGUUCUGUCCUGGUCACUGCUGUAUCCCCAGCUCUAGAUAAGGCCUGAGACAUCGUAGGAGUGCCAGGGAUCUUUGGUUACUGAGAAAACGAGCAGCUAGAUCAAGGUUCCCAACACCAACACGCUGGGGACAUGUUGGGAGUCAACUUAGCCCUACCAGCAGGUGGAACUAGUUUUGCUGCUCCAAAACAGAGUUCUAGCUAUGGGGACAGCCACUAGAGAGCAGAGCUAAGUCCAUGCUAUGCUGAGGGGCCACAGUCUGCCCUGAACUGUGCCUCCCAGCCUGGAGCUAGUGAGGGGGCCGAGCCUGGGAGCUGACAGAUGAGGGCUCGGCGUGGGGACUUUUGGAGGGGAGGGCAUUUUCUUGAUCUUACCAUGGGGGCAACAGCUAGAUGGGUAGGGGGGGACCCACUCAAGGACAUACUGCGGCUUCAGGCUUCGACCAGCCCAGAACGCUCGCUCCAUCUGAGGGUCUUGAUAUCAGGGUGUGGCGUCAGGAGCCGGAGCCUACGGGUUGAAAGCCAAGAGUGGGCAAUCAAAGCUGAAACCAGGCCCACGACUUAGGAGCUGGAGAGCACACAGGGCUGAACACUCGAGUUGGUGACCAGGAAACCAGGGAGCAAAGUCUCCAGGGUGCUUGGGCAAGACCCCAGAUGGUCUGCAGCAACGCACGGGCAACACGGGAUGAUCAGCGCUACGUGGUGAGAAACUUACCUCCUUUUGCAGGACAACAUUUUCCAGUCCUUCUGAGUAAAUCAAAGAGAAGUCUCAGCUUGGUGAUUGCAGGUCUCUAAUGCUUAUUUCUCUGUCUCUGUCUCUCUCUCUUUUAACAAAAGUCUACCAGCGGCCUCAGGCUCAGGGCCUGUCUCAGGUAAAAGCGGGUUAGGGUGUAAUAACAGUGAUCGGUUUCAUUGUGUUUAUUUUUGUAGCUACUUUCUAAUUAUAGCAAGUGAUUCUGAGUUUCCAUUUAGGAUAGUAAUAGGAAGUUUCUUUUUCAAGUAAAUGUGCAUAAGUAAAAGGAGACUGCUCAAAGGAAAACAGCUGGUGAUUGAUAGAACAGGCUGUGGCAUUGUUGGGCCCCAGAGGGAAGGGCUGUGUGAGCAUGCAGGAAAUUCUGGGAAGGCAGCUAAAUGCAGUUGCUGCAUGGGGGCCAGGAAGCAUUUGGAGACGUGGCUGGGCACAGCUUGGCUUUUGAGCCCAAGAGAGGCCUGCUGGGGAUGUGUUGGGAGCCAACCUACCCCUACCAGCAGGUGGAACUGGUUUUGCCACUCCAAAACAGAGUUCCAGCUAUGGGGACAGCCACUAGAGAGCAGAGCUAAGGGCAUUCUAGGCCAAGGGGUCACAGUCCACCCUGAACUGUGCCUCCCAGCCUGAAGCCAGAAAGCUCAGGGAGGCUAGCGGCCCUGCCCAGGCCUCAGCACUGACCCUGCACCCCUAGGCCCAGCUGGAUGACCCCUAAGAGCUUCCUGGAAUUUGGAUGCAGGGUUAUUCUGUGUGUGCUGCCUCUCAGAGCAUGUCACUUUGACGUGGACAUCUCGGGUCUGGUUCUGGUGCUGUCCCUGUCUCGCCACGUGACCCUGGAUAAGUCAUCUCUCCAGGCCUUGAUUUCCCCAUCUGUAAACAGAGGAACCCAAGGAACGAGUGGGCUCUAACUGCUGCAGCAUAUGGGAGAUGCCAGGAGGAGCUGGCUGUGGCAGGCCAUCCCAGUCCAUCAGACAACUUGUAGUGGAUGAAGAUGCAGUGUCCAUGGCCAGAAGAAACUCCCGUGGAUGCUCAGGCCAAGGCUGCCAGAAGCACGAGGAGGGGCAGCAUUGAGUGUCAUCGGGAAAAGGCAAAGUGAUGGUCCUGAAGCUGCCCCAUGUGGCCAGUCCCUUUUUGGGAAGCCUGAAUAAAUCCAUUUCCUGUGCACUGUGUGGGAAGCCAACCCCUCUUCAGAGCACCUCUGAACUCAACAGGAUCCUACACUUCUUAUAGGCCUGGCUUGAUGCUGACAUCCUUCAGCCCCAGGGAAGACCUAAAGAUCUCCAGGUCUUGAGGCACCUGGAACACCUCCACCUGAGACCACUUUAACAUGAUUUCUCUGCUUGAGGGAUUUUGGACCAUGCUGUGUGUAUUCAGCCCUAAAACAUGGGCGAGUGCCCGCUUGCAGUUCAAAUUCUCAGAGGAAGUUCCCUGUACUCCACCCAGUGCCAAGUUUAGUUUGUGCAAAUUUCCUUAAUGUCCCCUCCUGUACAACAGGCUUAUUUGGUGUUAACCCUCAUAUCGGGGGUCUAACUCUUUGCUUUUCCAGCUUUUGUGCUGGAAUAUCCCAUUAAACUGUCCAUGUUGGGUAUUUUUUCUUUGUUAGUAAACAUUUGUUGCAUAUUGUUGAUAGCAUUUUAGAUUUGAAGAAAUAACUGACAAAAUCAAUAUCAUCUGUUUCAUCAUUA
rnacentral:lncRNA from 1 species